ACACACACACACACCGAGUUCAGCUACCGUAACCCUGCUAAUAAUGAGCAUGUGGUAAUGGGGCCUCCCGUAAUGGAGCCUGGGUUCUGGCUGCCAUCACCCUGUAAUACUGGCCUCCACUACUGCACAAUAUUGGCCAUAUUACAGGCCAGACCGGACCCCAUCUUGGUUGGGCGAGUGCAAUAGGUGGGAUGGGAACUAUGGGGCAGAUUGUUAAUGGUGCAAGUGAUUAGCCGGGGAGCCGUCACCGGCAGGGCAGAAAUCUAGACUGGAGGUUUCUCUGGGAAUUGUGGGGGUGUUCUCCGGCUGACAAGACGAUCACACUGGUCCUGUCUGUCCUUGGGCUCUAGGAAUCUGUAAAAUUGCCAAUGUUCAUGGGCAACCAGGAAACCUUAAUUUAAAUCAUUGAUUUUCCUCUGGUGUCUCCCAGGUCCUGCUUGGUCACUUUCUGAACGAACGUUUCAUCGGGCUGGUAUCCCCCCCGCAGCCCUUACCCUGAGUUUGGUACGCCAUUGUGCCAGCUGGACAAAACGCUGGCUCUGGGCAAUGAUACAGUUCGAUGGGUUUCUCCCAGUGCUUUUUCUGGUGUUAGAAAAUGCUGAGCAAUGCUUUUCUUGUUUCCUACCCAAUGAUUCCUCCUUGGGAUUGUAUCCAGCUCCGUGUGGCUGGAAAUUGAGCUCAGUGAGAAAUGCACAGAAACAGCAUUUAAAUGUGGUGGUUGUUCGCUAAAACUAUCCUCAACCAGCUGGGUAGAUAAAGAACAAAGUUUCUCAGUUUAAAGGCUGUUUCCCUUAAAACUAACCAAUUUCUUCAACACAGGCAGAAUGGUUGGUUAGUGAAUAGAGCCGGCUGCAUCUGGUCACCAGGCCCUUGGUGAUUUUAGAAGUAGUAGACUUCAUCUUUUCACACCUCGUUUUAUUCACAGAUCGGAAGAGGGAAGCCAGUUUUCCUGCUUUUUUUACAGCUUUCCGUCCAUGGGUUCUCUUUGGCUAAGCCCGUCACUGAACUGAAUGAGCCAAAUAGAUGGAGCCGAAGAAAACGUUGUCUUUGCAGGAGGCAAACGCUGUGGAAAGCUGGUUCAACUCUUCACUCGAAUUUGGUUCCCGGUGCUGAGCUGGGACUCCGGCCAGGGCAGCGGGGAGAUGUCUGAGAAAAGGCAGGUACCUGCAGACAGCGAUCAAGUCGCCUCCCCUGCAACCAAUGGAGCAGCCGGAACGGCCCCCUCCAGGGCCCUUUUUCUGACCCUUCAGUUCCUCCGCAACUCUUCUCGGAGCCUCUCCAACAGAUCCCCGGCCUCGUGGAGCUGCAGGUACCAGAACCGGAGCCAGGACCCAGCAGCCUCUGCGCCAGCACCGAGUUAGUUAAAAACAGAGAGGCCACGAUGACAGAAAGCAAGGCACAACACAAACUGGAGUUAACCAAACUGAAAGCAAAAGAGAAAGAAAAGGAACACCAGAGACUGGUCGAAUUAAAACGACUUGAUAAGGAAGCCCAGGAGGCUUCCCACCAGAGAGCUAUGGAGGCAGCGAAAGAGGCAGAAAAAGCCCAGGAGGUUACCACAGGAGAGCUAUGGAGGAAAAGGAAAGAGAUGGAGGAGAAGGAAAGAGAGGAAGCAUCCACUGGAGAUGGAGAAGGCAAAGGCUCAGCAGAAUAUACUGAAUAACACUAACUAUCCUUCCCCAACAAUCCACAAAUGGGAGUGACUAUGUCCACAGUAUGAGGAAUCCAGUGAGAUUGCUGAAUAUUUUCUCACCUUUGAGAGACUGUGCACACUCCAUCAAAUUCCUGAAGCUCACAAGAUGACCGCAUUGGUUGCAAAAUUAACUUUUAAAACUCUGGAAUAAGAUGCUUAUUGAUGAGGCUUCUGACUAUAAUAAAUUCAAGGAUUUGGUUUUAAAGCAAUUUCAAGUUACAAUUGAAACGUACAGAGUAAAAUCUAGAGCCCUUAAGAGAGGACCUGAACUAAGUAAUGUGGCUUAUAUAAACCAGACGAAGGAUCUGUUAGAUACAUGGGUUAAAGGAAGGGGUGUAACUAGCUUUGAAGGAAUGUGUGAUUGAUGACUCAGAAGCAAUUUCUGAAUAUGUCCAAGGAGGAUAUAAAACAGUGUUUAUGGGAUAAGAAAAUGGACUCAGCAGAAAGUCUUGCUUCUUAUGGUGAUCAAUACGAGCAGUCCCGGACUGUCAGAGAGGCGGAGCAAACCGGAACAAAACGGGUGGAGGGAGGAAAGAGAAACAACCCUGGUCGCAGUUGGAGCGGAUACCAGAAGCGACACCCUCAGACCACACCCUACUACUGGGGCAGCCUAAGGCCCCAACUACACACCAAGGAACACUCCAGACACCUUAUCGUCCCACCUCACCAUUCUCCAGCAACCCCCCUCGCCCCAGUGACCCGUCAGCUGGACGAUGUUUUAAAUGUAAUGAGCCGGGGCAUGUAAAGGCCAACUGCCCCAAGAACCCCAACAAAUUACAGUUCAUUGCACCGGAAUCACACCAGAGGUCCUCAGGCCCAGAUACCUCCCAGAUACCCUCAGAGCGGAGGGAAACUGAGUGUGGGCGGGAAGAAGGUCACUGCGUGGAGGGACACUGGAGCGCAGGUGUCAGCUAUCCAUGCUUCCUUAGUGGACCCCACAUUCAUCAACCCAGAGGCCCAAGUGAUGAUUCAACCCUUCAAGUCAAACUCUUUUGGCUUGCCUACAGCCAAGUUGCCUGUCCAGUACCAGGGCUGGUCAGGAACAUGGACUUUUGCAGUCUAUGAUGAUUAUCCCAUCCCCAUGCUGUUGGGGGAAGACUUCGCCAAUCAUGCAAAGCUAGCCAAGAGGGUGGGAAUGGUCACCCGCAGCCAGGCUAAGCAAGCUGUGACGCCUAGCUGUGUUCCGGAAACUUCUAUCAGGACCCUCCAGAGGUAAUGGACCUGGACCCCGGGCCAACGUCAGCAACAGCAGUAGUGGAUCCAGUCACAGAGACCCAGACAGAGCCGGAACCGGCGGAAGAACCAGCACCAGACCCAUUCCCAGCACUGAAUCCAACCUCAACACCAGAGGGCCCCACCGAACCUGAACCGGCAGCAGCCCAUAUCCCUACACGAGAGGCUCAGUCGGAGCCUGAAUCCCAACAUAGCGCACCGGCGGAGAGCGGUUCACAGUCAGCGGAAACAGCCCCAUCCCCUACAUCGCUUCCAAAGGGACCAAGCCUAGGUCCACAAUCCAAUGAGGAACUGAUGUCUCCAGCAUCAAGGGAACAGUUCCAGACCGAACAGGAAGCAGAUGAAAGCCUCCAGAGAGCUUGGACGGCAGCACGGAGCAACCCACUGCCUCUUAGCUCUUCUAAUUGAUCCAGAUUUGUUGUAGAAAGAGGACUUUUAUACAAGGAAACUCUUUCUGGUGGACAUCAGGAAGACUGGCAUCCUCAGAGGCAGUUGGUAGUUCCAACUAAGUACCUGGUCAAGCUCUUGAGUUUAGCCCACGAUCAUCCUAGUGGCCAUGCUGGGAUGAACAGGACCAAAGACCGGUUGGGGAGGUCAUUCCACUGGGAGGGAAUGGGCAAGGAUGUUUCUAUUUAUGUCCGGUCUUGUGAAGUGUGCCAAAGAGUGGGAAAACCCCAAGACCAGGUCAACGCCCCUCUCCAGCCACUCCCCAUCAUUGACGUUCCAUUGCAGUGAGUAGCUGUGGAUAUUCUGGGUCCUUUUCCGAAAAAGACACCCAGAGGAAAGCAGUACAUACUGACUUUCAUGGAUUUUGCCACCCAAUGGCCGGAAGCAGUAGCUCUAAGCAACACCAGGGCUAAAAGUGUGUGCCAGGCACUAGCAGACAUUUUUGCCAGGGUAGGCUGGCCCUCUGACAUCCUUAUGGAUUUGGGAACUAAUUUCCUGGCAGGGACCAUGAAAAGCCUUUGGAAAGCUCAUGGGGUGAACCACUUGGUUGCCACCCCUUAACACCAUCAAACAAAUGGCCUGGUGGAGAAGUUUAAUGGAACUUUGGGGGCCAUGAUAUGUAAAUUCGUAAAUGAGCACUCCUGUCAUAACUAUAAAGGGAAGGGUAACCACCUUUCUGUAUACAGUGCUAUAAAAUCCCUCCUGGCCAGAGGCAAAACCCUUUCACCUAUAAAGAGUUAAGAAGCUAAGGUAACCUUGCUGGCACCUGACCAAAAUGACCAAUGAGGAGACAAGAUAUUUUCAAAUCUGGAGGGUGGGGGGGACAAAGGGUCUGUCUGUGUGAUGCUUUUGCAAGGAACAGAUCAGGAAUGCAGCCUUACAACUCCUGUAAAGUUAGUAAGUAAUCUAGCUAGAAACGCAUUAAUUUCCUUUUGUUUAAUGGCUGGUAAAAUAAGCUGUGCUGGAGGGAAUGUAGAUUCCUGUUUUUGUGUCUUUUUGUAACAAGGUUUUGCCUAGAGGGAUUCUCUGUGUUUUGAAUCUGAUUACCCUGUAAGGUAUUUACCAUCCUGAUUUUACAGAGGUGAUUCUUUUACUUUUUCUUUAAUUAAAAUUCUUCUUUUUAAGAA